rnacentral:rRNA from 1 species
GGACUACAGGGGUUUCUAAUCCUGUUUGCUCCCCACGCUUUCGUGCCUCAGUGUCAAUCAAACCGUAGUAAGCUGCCUUCGCAAUUGGUGUUCUGUGACAUAUCUAUGCAUUUCACCGCUACUUGUCACAUUCCGCUUACCUCCAGUCCAUUCAAGCUAUUCAGUAUCAAAGGCACUGCGACAGUUGAGCUGCCGUCUUUCACCCCUGACUUAAUUAGCCACCUACGCACCCUUUAAACCCAAUAAAUCCGGAUAACGCUCGGAUCCUCCGUAUUACCGCGGCUGCUGGCAC